rnacentral:rRNA from 1 species
CGAGUGAAGCGGCAACAGCUCAAAUUUGAAAUCUGGCCCUCGUGGUCCGAAUUGUAAUUUGUAGAGGAUGCUUUUGGUGCGGUGCCUUCCGAGUUCCCUGGAACGGGACGCCAGAGAGGGUGAGAGCCCCGUACGGUUGGACACCUACCCUAUAUAUAGCUCCUUCGACGAGUCGGGUAGUUUGGGAAUGCUGCUCUAAAUGGGAGGUAAAUUUCUUCUAAAGCUAAAUACCGGCCAGAGACCGAUAGCGCACAAGUAGAGUGAUCGAAAGAUGAAAAGCACUUUGAAAAGAGGGUUAAAUAGCACGUGAAAUUGUUGAAAGGGAAGCGUUUACGACCAGACCUUUUCCAGGCGGAUCAUCCGAUGUUCUUCACCGGUGCACUUCGUCUGGUUUAGGCCAGCAUCGGUUUUCGUAGGGGGAGAAAGGCCUGGGGAACGUAUCUCCCUCGGGAGUGUUAUAGCCCCUAGCGUAAUACCCUUACGGGGACCGAGGACCGCGCUUCGGCAAGGAUGCUGGCAUAAUGGUCGUCAACGACCCGUCUUGAAACACGGACCAAGGAGUCGAACAUUUGUGCGAGUGUUUGGGUAUUAAACCCUCACGCGUAAUGAAAGUGAACGGAGGUGAGAGCCCUUCGGGGUGCAUCAUCGACCGAUCCUGAUGUCUUCGGAUGGAUUUGAGUAAGAGCAUAACUGUUCGGACCCGAAAGAUGGUGAACUAUGCGUGGAUAGGGUGAAGCCAGAGGAAACUCUGGUGGAGGCUCGCAGCGGUUCUGACGUGCAAAUCGAUCGUCAAAUCUGCGCAUGGGGGCGAAAGUAUGUAUACCUAUUUUUUUUUUAAAGUCCACAGGAGCUACCCUGGAGCUACCCUGGAGAAGUUUUUUGGGGAGGACCUACCCUGUAGGAGUCGAGUAGCUACCCUGUAGUUGCCCGGCACCUACCCUGGAGAACUUUUUCCGAGUAGCUACCCUGGAGCUACCCUGGACUUACCCUGUACUUGCAAAAUUA